AUUGAACGCUGGCGGCAGGCCUAACACAUGCAAGUCGAACGGUAACAUGAAGAGCCUUGCUUCUUUGCUUUCGCGUGGCGGGCGGGUGUGUAAUGUCUGUGACACUGCCUGAAGGAGGGGGUUAACUACUGGAAACGGUACCAAUUACCGCAUAACUUCGCAAGCCCAAAGAGGAGUACUUUAGGGCGUCUUGCCUUCGGCUUUGCCCGGAUGGGAUUAGCUAGUAGGUGGGGUAACGGCUCACCAAGGCGACGAUCCGUAGCUGGUCUGAGAGGUUGACCGGCCACACUGGAACUGAGACACGGUCCAGACUCCUACGGGAGGCAGCAGUGGGGAAUAUUGCACAAUGGGCGAAAGCCUGAUGGAGCAAUGCCGCGUGUAUGAAGAAGGCCUUCGGGUUGUAAAGUACUUUUAGCGGGGAGGAAGGAAGUAAAGUGAAUACCUUUGCGCAUUGACGGUACCCGCAGAAGAAGCACCGGCUAACUCCGUG
rnacentral:rRNA from 1 species